rnacentral:rRNA from 1 species
GACGGAAGGUGCAAGCGUUGCUCGGAAUCACUGGGCUUAAAGGGCGCGUAGGCGGGUGCUCAAGUCCGGGGUGAAAUCCUCCAGCUCAACUGGAGAACUGCCUCGGAUACUGGGUGCCUCGAGGGUGGUAGGGGUAUGCGGAACUAUCGGUGGAGCGGUGAAAUGCGUUGAUAUCGAUAGGAACUCCGGUGGCGAAGGCGGCAUACUGGACCACAUCUGACGCUGAGGCGCGAAAGCCAGGGGAGCAAACGGG